rnacentral:lncRNA from 1 species
UCCCCCGGGGUGCAGUUGAGAUAUGAGAGACAUCAUUAGGGAAGAGACGUGAUAUCCCGAAAUCUGCAACUUUGACACUGAAACUCUGAUCAAGGAGUAUGUUAUUAGUCUUGACAUCACAGUGUAUUAUGUCAGAAGCAUGAAGGUAAGCCAAUGCACCAGCAGUUUCUAUGGCAAUGUUCAAGCGGACUGGCCAGGUGAGUGAUCUGUUCUUCGCUCUGUCACCAUGGAGGUGAUCAGCUAGAGUUCCGUUAGGAAUGUAUUCAUAGACAAGGAUUAGUUCACGGCUACGCCUUGAAGUGCAGCCAUAAAGAGUGACAAGAUUGGUGUGCCUUAGCCUAGUAAGGAUCUCAAUUUCAUUUACAAACUGCUGCAUUUGUUUGGAGUUGUGCUCAUAAAGGCGCUUCACAGCAACCUCUCGUCCAUCCUUAAGUUGUCCUAGUCAUUAGUGAACAAGUAUUAGGCACAUGAAGAAAGAAUUGAAGCAUAGCUCAGUUGGAUUAGGAAGUCUCUCACCAUAGUAAACAGUUCCGAACCCUCCAUCUCCAAGAACUCGAGAGGAUUUAAAAUCAUUCGUGGCUUCUUCAAGUUCUGAAUAAGAAAAGACUGGGAUGCCAAAGUAUAUACUGCCUCCCUCAACAUCAUUUUUAAAUAUAUAUGACAAUUUCCUUGUUAAGAGGAAGUGGGGUGGAUUAAAUUUCCUCUUCUUGUAACACCAGAUAAAGUAGACAGCUAAACAAGUUAUCAUCACCAAUACUCCACCAAAAACUGGAAAUAAAUAAAAAUCGAAGGUUUCAAAAAAAAAAGAAGCAAAACAUCGCAAUCUCUCAACUCCACUUUGUCAUUAUGAAUAUGUUUUGAGAAUUUACCACAAUGAAAAAGAAAAUUCAAAGAACAUGUAUGGAAAUUCUGAAAUAGAAAGAAAGAUGAGGUUAAUGGAUAUUUAACUACCUGCUCCAAGAGUCAGUCCCAACUUGCUUCUAUUUGCUUUUGCAUCUAAACAGAAGAGGGAAAAUUAUCAGAUGUCAUAUGAAACAAAAAAGGACCCUAAGAAAUAUGCAUUUGACCUUGAACAUGUUAAUUAUUUUGAGAUGUCUACCUUUGUAACAAAGAAAAUUGUUCUUCUUAUCAGUCUGACAUCGACCUCCACCAUAGUGACAUUUGUUACAGUCAUCAGACAAUUUCCAUUCUACUAGAAAUGCAGAACGUAAGAAGUUGACCAAAUUAUUACCAGGUUCUGUUUGGUAAUAUGGCAAUCUGAUAAGGGAACAGUUGGCAGUAAGAUUGUCUGCUAGAAUGUCUUCAUCAUCAACUCCAUAAAACUUGUAGUAUAUGGUGAAUCCAUCACAGCCAUCAUAUGAGUAAUAACCAUCAAAAUGAUCUUUCAUCUGCUGAUUAAUGUAUGGGUUGUUACUACUAGUCCUAUUGCAUUUGUAGAAGUUCUGAAGGUUAACUGCAGAGAAAGAAAUAGAAGGAGAGCCUGAAAGGGAGAUAUUUUUGUUAAAAGCUUGGCACUUGUUUUUCCUCAAUAUAGUUUGAAGCUUCGGGUCCACGACCCAAACUGUAUAACUAUACUCCUUGCCUAUAGCAUAGUACCAUUCUCCUCCAGGAACCAGUUGGAUUCUUGGAAAUAGUUUAACAUCACAACCAGAGAUGGGAACUAUUCCGCAGUCGGGUUGUGUGGAAAGAGAGAAAGGAAAGCUCAGGUCAGUAAGAUUUCCACAUGAAAAGGACUUUGGACAAGUUGAAUCAUUUCUCCCCUUUGCCUGAACUAACAUCAGAAGAAGAGAUAGAAUAACGCAAACAGACGAAGAAGCCAAAGACAUAUUGUGAAUCCUACUGCAAGAAGAGCAAAGCUAGCUGAAGUUUUUGUGAAUUGCAACUCUAGUUCACCAGACUGGUAUCUUAUAAGAUCAAGUGCCAUAACUUCUAAACACUUUCUCCAUUAAUAGUCUCCAUCUUACUGGUAAAACUUGUCAAAAAGAAAUACUAACUGGAACCAAACAUAAUCAGACUUAUUGAGGAAACAAAGGCAAGGCUUAGAAAAUAUUGAAACUUUCACAUCAGUAAAGACUUGACUUAUUGACUCUGCAAUAUACCAGGCAACUUCUUAUCAGUUUCAGGACCAAAGUCUUCAAAAAUGGUUGACUUAACCUGUAGAAAUAUGAAAAUGAAAAGGUUCUAGUCACACCCCAAAACACAACUAAAGAUAGUUUGAUAAUGUAAAAAGAAUACUGCAUACUUAUCAGGUAGCUUCAUAUCUCCUCCUUAUGGUGAACAAAUCCAGUCUUCCAUUUGCUCAUUCUCACUAGAAAUUACCAAGAAAGUUUUCCAAGUAUAGCAGAGUAUAUACGGUGUAAGCUAGAAAUACUUGCAAUGUUCCAAGCCAUCUUCUACAAAAUUUUGAAAAAGUAACAAAUCAGCAAUCAGUAUUCUAGAAUAUGGAACACUGGCCCCUCUAUUCCAUGACUAACAUUGAAACAAUAGUGCAUAUCACUAUGACUAAAUACUCAUAAAUUUCUAACGAUGGCCCCUCAAAUUCCAUGAAACAUAAACCUUAUCUUCUUCUUUUUUCUCUAACUUCUCCCAUCAUUUUCUGUUACACCAGCUUUUGAUCCCAAAAAGAAAAGAAAGUGUGUCAUUGGACAGAGCCAUUGCUUUACAUUUUCCAACCUUCCAGUGUAUAUAACAGCUCUUAUAUAAUGAAACUAAAAAUUGAAUCACUUCCACUCGUAGAUACAUUGCUCAAGAAACUUCUCCGAGUAGUACAUUCAUAGUCUCUCAAAAUCUACAUCAAUAACAAAGGAAGGGGGUACAGAACUACUUUGUACUAGUUAUACUAGAGCAAGUAAUCCAUUUACCAGUCACAGAAUUUGGUGAAGGUAGUGAUUUAACUUGUUUAAGCAAUAACUGAUCUUCUGAUUCAGGGAAAGGAAAUACUUUCUUUUCAUUGUCAAAUUCACUAGUCUGAAUCUCCUUUAGAGUAUCCAAAACUUCAACCAUAGUAGGCCUCAUGUCCCUAUCUGUCUGUAAGCAUAGAAAAGCCAGCUCUGCCACUGAAGUAGUCAUUUCCAAAAUCUUGGUAUCUGAGUCGAACCCCAGGGAUGGAUCGAUCAACUCAUGAAAUGCACAUUUUACGAUCUUGUUUAUAGCAAAGUUAGCCAAAUUAAUUUCUUGGCUAUGCCUGUUCAUAUCCACAGCUGGCAUUGAUGAAAUGAGCUCAACAAGGACCACCCCGAAGCUAUAGACAUCACUUUUACUAGUCAGCUGAUAACAUUCUUGAUACUUUGGAUCAAUAUAGCCAGGGGUCCCCCGGGGUGCAGUUGAUAUAUGAGAGACGUCAUUUGGGAAGAGACGUGAUAUCCCGAAAUCUGCAACUUUGACACUGAAAUUCUGAUCAAGGAGUAUGUUAUUAGUCUUGACAUCACAGUGUAUUAUGUCAGAAGCAUGAAGGUAAGCCAAUGCACCAGCAGUUUCUAUGGCAAUGUUCAAACGGACUGGCCAGGUGAGUGAUCUGUUCUUCGCUCUGUCACCAUGGAGGUGAUCAGCAAGAGUUCCAUUAGGAAUGUAUUCAUAGACAAGGAGUAGUUCACGGCUACGCCUUGAUGUGCAGCCAUAGAGGGUGACAAGAUUGUUGUGCCUUAGCCUAGUAAGGAUCUCAAUUUCAUUUACAAACUGCUGCAUUUGUUUGCAGUUCUGCUCGUAAAGGCGCUUCACAGCAACCUCUCGUCCAUCCUUUAGUUUUCCUAGUCAUUGAAGAACAAGAAUUAGGCACAUGAAGAUAUAGUUGAAACAUAGCUCAGUUGGAUUAGUUCCUCACCAUAGUAAACAGUUCCAAAACCUCCAUGUCCAAGUACUCUGGAGGAACUGAAAUCAUUUGUGGCUUUUUCAAGUUCUGAAUAAGAGAAGACUGGGACACCAAAGUAUUUGCUCCCUCCCUCAACAUCAUGUUUAAAUAUAUCCGAGAAUUUCUUUGCCGAGAGGUAGCGGAAUGGACUAAAUUUCCUCUCCUUGUAACACCAGAUAAAGGAGACAGCUAAACAAGUUAUCAUCAACAAUCCUACCACACCAAAAACUGAAAGAGAAGUCAGUAAACCAAGUCACUCAAACAAAAAUAAAAAUAAAAAUAAAAAGAUAGCAAGGAGAAGGAAUUUUCCUUUUUUUUUGAUGAAAAAAGGUUAUAGAUUUCACUAAAGAGUGCCAAGAAGGUAUAAGAAAGAGAACAGACUACAAAAUUUCCUUCUAUAUUUUGAAUGAAUGCAAAAUAUAUAACAUAGCGUUCAUAUCCGAUACAAUGCUUUCUCUACACCAUAAGUAUAGACUUUUCAAACAUCUAGAUUUGACAUGAAGUAUUUUUCCCUCUAUCAUCAUUAGAACAUCUGUCAUUCUUCUCCUGCCAGACAUUCCAGAAAGAAUUUUCCCUCAACUCCAUUAUCCAUAUGUUUUGUGUAACGGAACUUUUUGAACUGAAAGAAUUUAAAACUCUUCUUUAUGUUUCUUUAUGUCAAGAGAAAGUUGUUGAACUUAUACCACUUUAAAGAUGAAAACUCAAAUGAUAUGCAUAGAAAUACUGUAAUAGCAUAUAGUAUUACAGCUUAAUAUAUAUCAAAACUACCUGUGCCUAGAACCAGCCCCACCAUACUUCUUGUAGUCGUUGCUGCAUCUACAAAAGAGAAAAUGUUAUGGCAUAUUAUCGAUAUGUGAUAUGAAAACAAAAAAGGACCCUAAGAAAUAUGCACUAGACUUUGAACAUGUUGAUUAUUUGGAACUGUCUACCUUUUUGACAAUAAAAUUUGUUGGUUGUAUCCGUCCGACAUUGACCUCCAUCAUAGUGACAUUUGUUACAGUCAUCAGAGAGUUUCCAUUCUACUAGAAAUCCGGGAGUAAAAAAGUUUCCAUCUAAUGUUGGGUGAAUUGGCAAUUGGAGAAGUGAACAGUUUGUAGUAAGAUUGCCUGCUCGAACGUCUUCAUCAUCACCUCCAGGAAGCUUGUAGUAUAUGCUAAAGCCUUUACAACCAUUGUACAUUUUAUAACCAGAAAAAUGCUCGUUGUUCUUCGGGGUACUACUAGUGCUGUUGCAUCUGUAAAAAUCCCUCAUAAAUAUUUGGAUAAUUUUGAAAGAUAUCGAAGGAGAAUCUGGAAGGGAGAUAUUUUUGUUAAAAGCCUGGCACUUGUUUUUCCUCAAUAUAGUUUGAAGCUUCAGGUCCACGAGCCAAACUGUAUAAUUAAACGGCUCGUCCAUAGCAUCAUACCAAUCUCCUCCAGGAAGCAAUUGGAUUCUUGGAUAUUGUUUAACAUUACAACCAGAAAUGGACAUUAUUCCACAGUCAGGUUGUGUUAGAAGAGUGAAAGGAAAGCUCAUGUCAGUAAGAUUUCCACAUGAAAAGGACUUUGGACAAGUUGAAUCAUUUCUCCCGUUUGCCUGAACUAAAAUCAGAAGAAGAGAUAGAAUAAAGCAAACAAAAGAAGAAGCCAAAGCCAUAUUGAAUAUCUACUGCAAGAAGAGGAAAGAGAGCUGAAGAUUUGUGAAUUGCAACUCUAGCUAAACAGACUAUCUUAUAGGCUCAAGUUCCAUAACUAGUCGUUAUCUUAUUCAUAUAUAUUUGUAAAAAAGGAAACAGUAUGUACAACCAAACGUAUAAGAAGGGUCAGACUUAUUGAGCAAAAGAAAGGCAAAGUAAAAAGGAAAUUUCCACUGUACCUUUUCGUAAACAACCAAACGUAUAAGAGGGGUCAGACUUAUUGGGAAAAAGAAAGGCGAAGAAGAAUAGGAAAGCUUCACAUUACCUUUUCUAGCCAUCAACACCAGUAGAAAGACUUGACUUGUUGACUCUGUGUACUAACAGAGACUUAUCAACAUUUUUCAGGACCGUCUCCGGAAAUGGAAGAUUUCAACUGUAGAAAUAGAAGCAAUAUUCAUUUCAGUUGUCUGAAAGUUAAAUGGUUUGCAGAUAUAUCCGAAGGCACAUAAAGAUAGUAUGAGAAUGAAAUUUUCAGGACCAACCUUCCAUUUGUUCAUUUUUCUCACUAUAAACUAUCAAGAAUAUGUUUCCAACCUUCAUCCCUAACUUAUGAACACUCACCUCAGAAAUCCAAGACACUGUGAGUGUAUGACAAAGAUUGAAACAAGAGUGCAUAUUACGAUGACAUAAUACUUAGAUAAACACUUGUACUUACACAGAUUUCUAAUGCCGGUCCUCAACAACUCCAUUAGUUCUCGAUUAAAAAGUUCUUAAAACUGCCGGGUGUAUACAACUUAAACUUUUAUAGAAAUUAAAAAUUGGAUCACUUCUACUCAUAGUACAUAGCUCAAGAAACUUCUCACAGUAGUACAUAUGCAGUCUCCCAAAAUUUACAUAGAAGUAACAAAGAAACGAAGUAUAGAAAUCUUAACUACUUUGUACAAGUUAUAUCAGAGCAAGUAGUCCAUUUGUCAGUCACAGAAUUUGGAGAAGGUAGUGAUUUAACUUUCUUCAACAAAACAAUAUCUUCUGAUUCAGGGAAAGGAGGAGCUGCUACUAUUUUAGCUUCAUUGGCAUUGAGAUUAGUCUGAAUCUCGUUUAGAGUAUCCAAAACUUCAACCAUAGUAGGCCUCACGUCCCUAUCUGUCUGCAAGCACAGAAAAGCCAGCUCCGCCACUGAAGUAGUCAUUUCCCGAGUUUUGGUAUCUGAAUCGAACCCCAGGGAUGGAUCAAUCAACUCAUUAACUGCAGAUUUUAUGAUCUUGUUUAUUGCAUAGUUGGCCAAAUUGAUCUCUUGGCUAUGCCUGUUCAUAUCCACAGCUGGCAUUGAUGAAAUGAGCUCAACAAGGACCACCCCGAAGCUAUAGACAUCACUUUUAAUGGUCAGCUGGUAACAUUCGUGAUACUUUGGAUCAAUAUAGCCUGGGGUACCCCGGGGUGUAGUCGAAAUAUGAGAGACAUCAUUUGGGAAGAGCCUUGAAAUCCCAAAAUCCGCAACUUUAACACCAAAGUUGUGAUCAAGGAGUAUGUUAUUAGUCUUCACAUCGCAGUGUAUUACAUCAGAAGCAUGCAGGUAAGCCAAUGCACCAGCAGUUUCUAUGGCAAUGUUCAUGCGGACUGGCCAGGUAAGUGAUCCGUCCUUCGCUCUGUCACCAUGAAGGUGAUCAGCAAGAGUACCAUUAGGAAUAUAUUCAUAGACAAGGAGUAGUUCACGGCUUCGUCUUGAAGUGCAUCCAUAGAGGGUGACAAGAUUAUUGUGCCUUAGUCUAGUAAGGAUAUCAAUUUCAUUUACAAACUGCUCCAUUCGCUUGCAGUUGUGCUCGUAGAGGCGCUUUACAGCAAUCUCCCGUCCAUCUUUAAGUUUUCCUGUUCAUCGAUGGGAAAGAAUUAGCCAGAAGAAGAAACAGUUGAUACAUAUCCAGGUUAAGAAGUUUCUCACCAUAGUAAACAGUUCCAUAACCUCCAUCUCCAAGUACUCUAGAGGAAUUGAAAUCAUCUGUGGCUUCUUCAAGUUCUGAAUAAGAGAAGACUGAAACACCAAAGUAUAUACUGCCUCCCUCAGCAUCAUGAUUAAAGAUAUUUGACAAUUUCCUUGUCGAGAAGAAGUGGGAUGAACUAAAUUUCCUCUUCUUGUAACGCCAGAUAACGUAUACAGCUAAAGAAGUUAUCAUCACCGAUCCUACUCCGCCAAAGACUGGAAGAGAAGUUAGUAAUCAAUGUCUUUGGAAAAGCAAAACGAAAUAGCAUCUAGAAGGAAUUCUCCCUCAACUCCACAUCCAUACAUUUUGUGUUUAAGUCUCUUCUUUCUGUUCCUUUAUUGCUAGAGAAAGGAUUUGAGCUUAUACAAAAUGAUGGAAUUUUAAAUGAUAUGCUUGAAUAUUCUGUAAUAAGAAUACAUGGCAGCAAUUAAACAUAUUUUACUACCUGUUCCCAGAAUCUGCCCCACCAUAUUUCUUCCAGUUGUUUCUUUUCUUUGAUCGGUACUACCUGUAGGUGGUUUUGCAUCUACAGAAGGUGGCAAUAAUACGAAAUAUAUUAUUUAUGUGGCAUGAAACAAAAAAGGGACUUAAGAAGCAUGAACUUGACCUUGAAAUUAUAGAUUAUUUUGGAGAUGUCUACCUUUGUGACAAGAAAAUUUGUUGGUUUUAUCAGUCUGGCAUUGACCUCCACUAUAAUGACAUUCGUUACAUUCCUCAGACAGUUUCCAUUCUACUAGAAUUUCGGGACCUAAUAUGUCGAACAAAUCACCAUGACUUGAUUGAAUUGGCAAUCUGAUAAGUGAACAGUUGGUAGGAAGAUUGUCUGCUCUUAUGUAUUCAUCAACUUCAGAAAACUUGUAGUAUAUGCUAAGGCCUUCACAGCCACUGUACAUAUUAUAAUCCACAAAAUGAUUGUUCUUCUUCUGCAUAAUGUUAUGGGCAUUAUUACUGCUACUGAUGCAUUUGAAGAACUUAUUAAUAUUAAUCAUAUGGAAAGACAUAAAAGGAGAGUUUGGAAGGGAGAAAUUUUUGUUGAAAGCCUGGCACUUGUGUUGUCUCAGUGUCGUUUGAAGCUUAGGGUCCCCAAUCCAAACUGAUGAAUUAUGCAUCUCUAAAGCAUAGUACCAUUCUCCUCCAGGAACUAUUUGGAUUCUUGGAUAUGGUUUAGCAUCACAACCAGACAUGGACAUUAUUCCACAAUCGGGUUGUGUGGGAAGAGAGUAAGGAAAUGUCAGGUCAGUAAAAUUUCCACAUGAAAAGGACUUUGGACAAGUUGAAACAUUUCUGCCCUUUGCCUGAACUAACAUCACAAGUAGAGACAGAAGGAAACAAAUAAAAGAAGAAGACAAAUCCAUACUGAAUCUAACUGCAAUAAGAGGAAAGCUAGCUAAAGCUUUGUGAAUUGUGACUCUAGAAGUCUAUAUCUUAUAAGACAUGAAUAGUGUCUCCAUUACUAGUCUUAAGUUUAUUGGUAAUGUUUGUUAAAAAGAAAAAUGUGCAACACAAACGUAUAAGAAGGGUCAGAUGUAUUAAUCAAGUAAAGAAAGGUGAAGAAAAAAAAGGAAAUGUUCACAUUAGCUUUUCUAGCAAUUGACUCCAGUAGAAAGACUUGCCUUCUUGACUCAGCAAUAUAACAUUAUUUUCAGGACCACCAAAAAUUAAUGACUUGACCAGUAGAAAUAGAAGCUAUACAUACAUCCAUAUGUUAAAAAAAAAAAAAAAAAAAAAAUAUUCUAGUCACACCCCAAAAUGCACCUAAAGAUAGUCUGAAAAUGUAAAAAAAAACACUGGAAUCUAUGACUAAGAUUCAAACAAGAGUGCAUCAUAUCAUAUAUUAUUAUAAGUGGGAAGCUUCUAACCUCAAAGUUGAAUUACUAUUUUAUCCUUUAUUUAAAUAUUAUUUUUUUUAUGUACAAAAGAAAAAAAUAUAUUCUAAUAACUAAAUACAAAACUGGAUAUAAAUGGGAGCAGUUUUAAGGUAUUCAAAUGUGCAUUAUAUUAUGUAAUAAAUAUAUUGGAAGAUAGAAAGUCAUUCAAAUGGAUGAAAUAGCUUGAGUAAGUUGUUAGCGGAAGUCCAAGCAUUUGAAAAUUGAAGAGUUAUCUUGAUGACACUUAUUUCACAUUAUUAUUGCCAACUUCAAUGUAAUUGUUAACAAUUAUAUAUAUGGGGAUGUUCAUGGAUUAUUUGAUAGGCAUAGCUUGUGAAACACUGAAUGCAAGGAGGGAGUCAAGCCACUCAAGAAUUAUUUUUUCAUGCUCUCUUUGAUCAGUAAGUUUAAUAAAAACAAAUAUGUUGCUUCUAUUUCCUUAAAUAAACAUUUCAUAUUUAUUUUUUUGAAUUUUUGACAAGAAAGCUCUUUUACAUGUAUUCACCAUCUUGAAAUGUGUAUGCAUGUUUACUUAUGAAUCAUGAUUCGAAAUACGAAGGUUAAAUUAUCUAAUUAUUUUAUAUCAUUUCAUGAAUUAAAAUAGAAUAUUUUUAAAUUCUUUAGAAUAAAUUUUACAUAUUUAUACAUUACAAUCAAAAGUGACAGGAAAUUCACUUUUAAUUAUUUUGUGUUUGUAGAUAACCCUUUUAUUUAUUUACUUUUUAUGAAUGAAAAUGUGGAAGUAAGAAAGAAAACUAUAAAAAUAAAAUGGUGGGAACAUAAACGAAAGGCGAAGACAAGAAUUAAGGCAAAUGAUGCAAAAUAGUAACGUUAGGGGAAAAUAAUAAUAAAGUAAGAGAAAAAAAAGGAUAAAAAAUAUUAAAAUAUGAUAAGAAGUAUGAAAAAUAACCAUGACCAAACUAUUGUAAUUUUUUGUUCAUGCUACAAAGGAGAAUAAACAUACUAUGUCAUGUGAAUGUAAUAUGGAGACAACAUAUAUACUUGUUACAAGUACAUAUGGUAAUUCAAACUUCGGUACAAAUUGAGAAGGUAUUUUAUGUGUGUAUUGUCCCUUUCUUAGAAAAGUAACAAACUAAUAUAUUGCAGGUUUCGGCCUAAUAACAUAAAAAGGUAAAUUAUUUAUCACAUUAAAUUUUGUUGUUCAAAUUUGGCAGGUUACCGAAAUAUCUAAUUAUUUGGCAUUUACAUUUUACAAUAAAGAAGUCAUUUAUAUAGGUUGAUUGUUCAUUUAUUUCAUUUAUAUUUUUUCGUUAAAUCAUUUGUGAAAUUCAGCACAAUGUGAUUUUAAUAUAACUCCUACCACAUAUAAUAUUUUCGUGGGACUCACGUGCAAAGCACGUGUUCAGGACUAGUAUUAUUAAAAGUGGAAGCAUCAAAGUACAAUGUUGGAUUACCAUUUUACCCUAAUAUUAAAUAAAAAUGUUAUAAAAUAUUUAAUUAACAAAAUAUUAAAUAGUAAUCAUAUCACAUAUUAUACUGUACUUAAAAUAUAUAUUUUUACAUAAAAUAGAUACAUUUAAAAUACAAUUAUUAAUUGAUAAUCUUCUAAAAAAACUGUUGUCUCUUUACAUUCUCCACUAUGAUCCUUGUCUUUUCAUUUCACAUAUGUAUAUCUUCUUGUUCUUUACAUUUUGUUUUUAUGAGUUUGAUAGAGAGCAUAGGAACACUGUCCUUUCCGAUGCUCCAUUGUGCAUGUUCUUUUAAGUUAUUUUUUGGGAAAAUGCACAAGUACCCCCGGAAAAGGGGUAGAAAAUUAUAUAUAUAAUAAGUUCGGGGGUAAUAGGACCUUAGUAAAGGUUAGGUGUGUCUCAUGGAUUUAGGGCAUAGGCUGGGGGUACUUAUGCAUUUUCCCUUAUUUUUUAUUUUGUUUCUUACUUCUUACUUCUUACUUCUUACUUAUCAUAUAGUUUAUUGUUUGAUUGAUGUUUAAGAUUUUGAUCUCUGAUAUAAAAUAAAAAAUUUAAUUUUGUGUCAAUAGCUUAUGAGAUGAUUUUUUUGUUGCAGGGAAAAUCAAUUGAUGAGAUGCUUCUGUCUCAAUCGCAUAGAACUGUACUUUGAGUUGUGCCAAUACUAAUGGGGUAAGUGACAUUUCCUUCUAACAUUAAUUUUUUUGUUAGCACAAUAUUCUUUGUUUGGUUUUUCUUUUCUCUUUUUUAUUUUGUUAAUAGUAGGUCAAAUUUAUUGAAUUUUCAUUCAUGUGAUUUAUUUGUGUGUAAAGCUAAUUAAGUAUUGAAUUUUGAUAUCAACCGUCAUAACCCAAUAAAAGUAAAAAACGUAUUUAUGAGCUAUGGCAUGUUGAGUGAUUUGAUAUUCAUUGCCUAUUUGGCUUCACUUUCUUUGUCUGAAUUUAAUUUUUUUAAUGGAGCUUUCAUCCAAAAAGAAAGAAGGGAGGAUAACAACCCAUGUUAAGAAAGAAAGGAAUGACUACAAUAUCAUAUUUUGGUUAUUUUUCUCACGAAAUUAUAUUAACUUUCUUUGCUUUAAUUUUAGUUGAUUGCUUUAGUUAUUUGAGCCAUAGUUUAUCCCUCCCUUUCUCCUUUAGAAUUUAUAUUACUUAUCACUCACAUGUCGUAAUAUUAUUUUUUAUCCCUUUUUUUUUUUUGACAACAUAAAACAAUACAUGUCUUUUUGUUUCUCAAGUACAAUUUUAACAAUACAGUUCGACAAAAUAUAAAUGAAAUGUUGAAUUCCUUUUCUAACUAAAAAAAAUAUUAUAAUUGCGUUGAGUCACAUCAAAUAAAGUUCGUAUAGAAAUGUAAUAUUGAUUUUGGAGGUAGGACAACGGUUAAUUGAUGAUAUGAGCAUAUUAAGCCUGCAAUCUAUGGAUUUAAUUAACUUAAUUGUUUUUUUUAUCAAAACAUAACAUCUAUAUAAAAACUACUACUAAAAUUUGACAAAUUCAUAUCAAAUUUUAACUCAUAAAUUCAAAUUAAAAUCAAUUUAGUACUAAUUAAGAAUCUUCAAAGUUGGACAUUUUAGAUAUUGGAUGUCAUUGAUUUUUGAAUAUAUUUAUCAUAUUGAUGCAAUUUUGAAAAAUACUUAUGCUCACUGUGGUAAGGGAUAUACGCGCGUGCCCAAAUACUAGUAGUGAUAUAAAUACCUCAACUUGUGAAAAAAAUGAAUGUUUUAAGCACUUCUAACCUCGCAUGUUCAUGUCCACAGUUAAUAUGGCUACUAUUAACCUUCUCCCAUUCAUUUUCUGUAUCACCAGUUUUGAUCCCGAAACAACGAGGGGGCCAUUGGACAGAGGAGCCACUGUCACUCUGAUGAUCCCCUUUACAUUCUCCGACCUCGAGGAUUCAACAACCUCUUCUGUGUACUGAAAGUGUAUAAUAUUCCUAUGCCAUUGGGUUAAGUUACCUGCAAUAACAAGUAAUUGUUUGUAACAGAUAUGUAUUAUAAGCUUGAAAAUAAAGUAGCAAAACCUGCUACAACAACUAGAGAAAAGUAAAUUUUAUUAGAAAAAAUAGACUGUCCAGCAAUACAAAGCUGAUACUGAAACAUUACACAAAUAGAGUAAAAACUUCUACACUGCAAGGUAUAUAACAUAAACUCUUAAAUAAUGAAACUAGAAAUUGAAUGACUUCCAGCUCAAGAAAUUUCUCACAGUAGUACAUCAAUAACAAAGAAAUGGGGUGUAGAACUUUUAACUACUUUGUUCUAGUUAUAUCAGAGCAAGUAAUCCAUUUAUCGGUCACAGAAUUUGGAGAAGGUAGUGAUUUAACUUGUUUCAACGAUAACGUAUCUUCUGAUUCAAGGAAAGGAGAAGCUGUUACUAUUUUAGCUUCAGUGGCAUUGAUAUUAGACUCAGUUCUCUUUUCAUUGCCAAAUUCACUAGUCUGAAUCUCGUUUAGAGUAUCCAAAACUUCAACCAUAGUAGGCCUCAUGUCCCUAUCUGUCUGCAAGCACAGAAAAGCCAGCUCUGCCACUGAAGUAGUCAUUUCCCAAAUCUUGGUAUCUGAAUCGAACCCCAGGGAUGGAUCAAUCAACUCAUGAAAUGCACAUUUUACGAUCUUGUUUAUUGCAAAGUUAGACAAAUUAAUCUCUUGGCUAUGCCUAUUCAUAUCCACAGCUGGCAUUGAUGAAAUGAGCUCAACAAGGACCACCCCGAAGCUAUAAACAUCACUUUUACUAGUCAGCUGGUAACAUUCGUGAUACUUUGGAUCGAUAUAGCCAGGGGUUCCCCGGGGUGCAGUUGAAAUAUGAGAGACAUCAUUUGGGAAGAGCCUUGAAAUCCCAAAAUCUGCAACUUUAACACUAAAGUUGUGAUCAAGGAGUAUGUUGUUAGUCUUGACAUCGCAGUGUAUUACGUCAGAAGCAUGUAGAUAAGCCAAUGCACCAGCAGUUUCUAUGGCAAUGUUCAUGCAAAUCGGCCACGUGAGUGAUCCAUCCUUCGCUUUAUUACCAUGGAGGUGAUCAGCAAGAGUUCCAUUAGGAAUAUAUUCAUAGACAAGGAGUAGUUCACGGCUUCGCCUUGAAGUGCAACCAUAGAGGGUAACAAGAUUGUUGUGCCUUAGCCUAGUAAGGAUCUCAAUUUCAUUCACAAACUGCUGCAUUCGUUUGCAGUUGUGCUCGUAAAGGCGCUUCACAGCAACCUCUCUUCCAUCCUUAAGCUUUCCUGGUCAUUGAUGAACAAGAGUUAGGUACAUGAAGAAACAGUUGAAGCAUAGCGCAGUUGGAUUAGGAAGUCUCUCACCAUAGUAAACGGUUCCGAAACCUCCAUCUCCAAGGACUCUAGAAGAACUGAAAUCAUUUGUGGCUUCUUCAAGUUCUGAAUAAGAGAAGACUAGGACACCAAAGUAUAUACUGCCUCCCUCAACAUCAUGUUUGAAAAUGUCCGAGAAUUUCUUCGUUAAGAGGAAGCGGGAUGGACUAAAUUUCUUCUCCUUGUAACACCAGAUAAAGGAGACAACUAAAGUUAUCAUCACCAAUCCUACACCACCAAAAACUGAAAGAGAAGUCAGUAAUCUCCCUCAACUCCAGUAUCCAUACAUUUACAUAACCUAAGGUACUUGUCUUUUCCUAUCAUUCUGUCAUUAUCUAAUAAAGUUUAAAUGAUAUGCAUGUAAAUUCUGAAAUAGGAAAGAACUCUGCAGUUAAUGGAUAUUAAAUUACCUGCUCCCAGAGUCACUCCUAACUUGCUUUUUGUUGUUUUUGCAUCUAAAAUAAGAGCGAAAAUACUAUGAAUAUUAAUGAUAUGUGAGAUGAAAAUAGGAAAGGGUAAGAAAUAUGCACUAGACCUUGAGCAUGUGGAUUAUUUAUACCUGUACAUUGAAAUUUGUUGGUUUUAUCAGUCUGGCAAUGACCUCCACCUUGGUGACAUUGGUAACAGUCGUAAGACAGUUCCCAUUGUACCAGAAAAACGUGACUUAACAUUUUGAACACAUCCCUAUCAUAUGCUAACGUGUCAAUUGGCAAUCUGAUAAGUGAACAAUUGGCAGGAAAAUUGCCUGCUCGAAUGUCUUCAUCACCAUCUCCAGAAAGCUUGUAGUAUAUGCUAAAGUCUUUACAACCAUUGUAUAUUUUAUAACCAGCAAAAUGAUCAUUCUUCUUAUGGGUAGUGUUUGGGGCAUUACGACUGGUGCUGUUACAUUUGAAGAAAUCGUGAAGCGUAGGGGUAGUGAAAGAAAUAGAAGGAGAGUCUUGAAGGGAGGAAACUUUUAGUCUAAAAGUACUGGCACUUGUGUUGCCUCAACAUGGUAUGAAGCUUCGGGUCCAAGAGCCAAACUGUAAAAUUAUGCGGUUUUUCCAUAGGAGUGUACCAAUCCCCUCCAGGAAGCAGUUGGAUUCUUGGAUAUGGUUUAGUAUCACAACCAGACAUGAUCAUUAGUCCGCAAUCAGAUCGUGAGGAAAGAGAGAAAGGAAAGCUCAAGUCAGUAAGAUUCCCACAUGAAAAGAACUUUGGACAAGUUGAAUCAUUUUUUCCCUUUGCCUGAACUAAGAUCAGAAGAAGAGAUAGAAGGAAGCAAAUAAAAGAAGAAGCCAAAGCCAUAUUGAAUCUAUACUGCAAGAAGAGGAAAAACUCGAAGGUUUGUGAAUCGUAAUUCUAGCUAGCUCACCAGAACUCUCUUAUAAGAUCAAAUUCCAUAACUUCUAAACAUUGUAAUCAUUACAAGUCUUUCUCACUGGUAAAAUUUGUCAAAAAGAAACACUAUGUGGAACCAAACGUAUAAGAUGGGUCAGACUUAUUGGGGGGAAAAAAGCUGAAGAGAAAAGGAAAUUCUUACAUUGGCCUUUAGCCAUUGACACCAGUGGUAAGACUUGACUUCUUAAGUCUGCAAACAAACAUCAACAUCUAAGUCUUUGGAAAUGGAUGACUUGAACUGUAGAAAUAGAAGCAAUAUUCAUUUCAGUUGACUGAAAUUUAAUUGGUAUGCAGAUAGAUCCAAAGGCGAAAACAACAAAGGAAAUGGUUCUUGUCACACCUUAAAAGACACGCAAAGAUAGAAUGUAAAAACAAAUAUACAACUUUGCAUUUGCUCACUUUCUCAUUAGAAACUACCAAGAAAGUAUUUUCAAGAUUGACGGAGUAUACACAAAAUAAGCUAGAAAUAUAGGCUAUGUUUCAUGUCAUCUUCUCCGAUGAUUUAGAAAAGAAUCAAAUCAUUAUCGCCAUCCCUAGCUUAUGGAACACUCACCUUAGAGUCCAAGACUAUGAAUUUAUGGCUAAGGUUGAAACACUCAAACUAACACUAGUACUUGCAUAGAUUUCUAAUGAUGGCCCCUCUAUUCCAGGAGUUCCAUUAGUACCUCAUCUUGUUAGUUUAAGCUUAUAAUUUUUUUUCCUAAUUUCUCCCAUAAGAAAAGACAACAAAAAGAGAGGGUCUUUGGACAGAGCCACUGCUUUGCAGGACCUGCCAGUAUAUGUGACAGCUCUUAUAUAAUCAAAUCAAAUAUUGAAUCACUUUCACUCAUAGAUACAUAGCUCAAGAAACUCUUACAGUUGUACAUUCGUAAUCUCUCAAAAUUCACAUCAAUAACAAAGAAAGGGAGUAUAGAACUUUUAACUACUUUGUAGUAGUUAUAUCAGAGCAAGUAACCCAUUUAUCAGUAACAGAAUUUGGAGAAGACAGUGAUUUAACUUGUUUCAGCAUAAACUUAUCUUCUGAUUUAGGGAAAGGGAGUGCUGUAACAAUUUUAGCUUCAUUUCCACUGAGAUUAGUGUCAGCUCUCUUCUCAUUGUCAAAUUCACUAAUCUGAAUCUCUUUUAGAGUAUCCAAAACUUCAACCAUAGUAGGCCUCAUGUCCCUAUCUGUCUGUAAGCAUAGAAAAGCCAACUCUGCCACUGAAGUAGUCAUCUCCAAAAUCUUGGUAUCUGAGUCGAACCCCAGGGAUGGAUCAAUCAACUCAUUAAAUGCACAUUUUACAAUCUUGUUUAUUGCAAAGUUAGCCAAAUUAAUCUCUUGGCUAUGUCUAGUCAUAUCCACAGCUGGCAUUGAUGAAAUGAGCUCGACAAGGACCACCCCGAAGCUAUAAACAUCACUUUUACUAGUCAGCUGGUAACAUUCAUGAUACUUUGGAUCGAUAUAGCCAGGGGUACCCCGGGGUGCAGUUGAAAUAUGAGUGACAUCAUUUGGGAAAAGCCGUGAUAUCCCAAAAUCUGCAACUUUAACAUUAAAGUUGUGAUCAAGGAGUAUGUUAUUAGUCUUCACAUCGCAGUGUAUUACGUCAGACGCAUGCAGGUAAGCCAAUGCACCAGCAGUUUCUAUGGCAAUGUUCAUGCGGACUAGCCAGGUGAGUGAUCCGUCCUUCACUCUGUCACCAUGGAGGUGAUCGGCAAGAGUUCCAUUAGGAAUGUAUUCAUAGACAAGGAUUAGUUCACGGCUACGCCUUGAAGUGCAGCCAUAAAGAGUGACAAGAUUGGUGUGCCUUAGCCUAGUAAGGAUCUCAAUUUCAUUUACAAACUGCUGCAUUCGUUUGCAGUUGUGCUCGUAAAGGCGCUUCACAGCAACCUCUCGUCCAUCCUUAAGUUUCCCUAGACAUUAAUGAACAAGUAUUAGACACAUGAAGAAAGAAUUGAAGCAUAGCUCAGUUGGAUUAGGAAGUCUCUCACCAUAGUAAACAGUUCCGAAACCUCCAUCUCCAAGGAUUCGAGAGGAAUUGAAAUCAUUUGUGGCUUCUUCAAGUUCUGAAUAAGAGAAGACUGGGAUGCCAAAGUAUAUACUGCCUCCCUCAACAUCAUUUUUAAAUAAAUAUGACAAUUUCCUUGUUGAGAGGAAGUGGGGCGGAUUAAAUUUCCUCCUCUUGCAACACCAGAUAAAGUAGACAGCUAAACAAAUCAUCACCAAUCCUAAUCCACCAAAAACUGGAAAAAAAUAUCAGUAAUCAGAGGUUUUCAGACAAAAGAAAACAUCACAAGGAAAAAGAAAGUGUCCUCUCAACUCCAC